AUUGUUUUGAAACCAAUGAGAGGCUAAGGGACCAUCUCUGAAUGGGAAAAGAUGUUGGUUCCCAUGGUCCAGCUGGGAGGUAACUAAUACUGAAGGAACCCAGCCAACUCUGAGGUGACAGUGAUGAAGUCUUGUCUAAAAUAACUGCAGUCCCAGGGAUACUUUAAUUUCAACCAUGGGAAGAAAUCUUAAAGGAAAGAAGACAUACAUUUGGCAUUUUCUCACCUCUAAGUAUGUGACAGAAACACUGCCACACCCUGAAGCCAUAAAUCAGAAAACUGCCCCAGUGGCCCACCUGCCACCUUUUCUGUAUUCCUGCCUUUAGCACCAAACUGCUUUGUGAAUAAAAGUUACCAGGACUCCAGUACACAUAGGCUAUGAUAGAAAGGUGGCCACUAACUUAGCAGAACUUAUUAGUGAAAUAGGCAAACAAAAUUCCUAUAACUCUCAUAAAGUUGAUUCCCUCUUCAGAGAAGUGUGGCCUGGCCCCUCCUCUCAUGUAACGGCAGAAAUUAUUCAAGAAUCACUCAACUGUGAAAAUAUGGCCACUGAGACACUGCCAAGCUUCUUUCUUAAGGGCUAGAAAGGAGAAAGAAAAAGAAAACCAGCUUUGAUCCUGGGUAAUGCAACCAGGUGUUCAAGCUUUGGGGGCAAAGAUCAGAGGAAGAAGGAUGAACAGUGGAUUUGGAAAGGGGAGUGGAAUAACUCCAAUAUUGUCACGUUCUCCAACCCAGCUUUAAGGCGGUGGUGGUGUUCCACUUUAAGGUCACAUUCUGAAGUUCCAGCUGGACAUGAAUUUGGAGGAUCCAAUACACCAACUAAAAGACAUCCAUGUCAAAUCUCUGGAACCUAUGAAUAUUGUCUUAUAUGGCAAAAGAAUGGAUAUUACCUUAAAUGGCAAAAUAUGUAUUUGAAUUAAGGAUUUUGAGAGGAGGAGUUUAUCCAGGAUUAUCUGGAGGGACCUAAGUGCAAUCACAUGUACACUUCCAGGAGCGAGGCAAAGAGUAUUUUGAGAGAGACACACUCAUAGAGGAGCAGGCGAUGUGGUGAACCACACAUAGCAGAGGAAGAUGGAACACAAGCUAAGGAAUGCCAGUAGCCCCAGAAGCUGAUUCUCCCUUCAGUCCUCUGGAUAGAGUGGUGUCCCCAACAGCUGCUAGGAUUUAGACUUGUGGCCCCCAGAACCGUGAGAGAAUAAAUUUAUAUUGUGUCAAGUCACCCAGUUUAUUACAACAGCCUCAGAAAGCUAAAAUAAAGAACUUCCUGAGGACCAUUAAUUUGAUGUUAGAGUAUUCCACUUUGCCUUAGGGGAGUAAAGACCCAUUCUUGGUGCAAUAAAUAACAUCAAACAACUGUCUCUUUAAGAUUUACUUUAAAACUACCAACCCCACCUAGCUCUAGUCACUCAUCUUUAAUUAUUCUGUACCUAUCUGUCUAACCCAAUAAUGCCCCUGCAUCAAAUGACCCAGUAUAAACCUAACCCCAUAAAUUACU